AGAGUUUGAUCAUGGCUCAGAACGAACGCUGGCGGCGUGCUUAACACAUGCAAGUCGAGUGCGCGUGCCGUAGCAAUACGGUAUGGCGCACGGCGCACGGGUGCGUAACACGUGGGUAAUCUGCCCUCUGAUGGGGAAUAACCCGCCGAAAGGCGGGCUAAUACCGCAUAACAUUCCUUGAAUCUCGGUUUGAGGACUCAAAGGCGUAAGUCGUCGGAGGAGGAGCCCGCGCCCGAUUAGCUAGUUGGUAGGGUAAUGGCCUACCAAGGCUUUGAUCGGUAGCUGGUCUGAGAGGAUGGCCAGCCACACUGGAACUGAGACACGGUCCAGACUCCUACGGGAGGCAGCAGUGGGGAAUCUUGCACAAUGGGCGAAAGCCUGAUGCAGCGACGCCGCGUGGGGGAUGAAGCUUCUCGGAGUGUAAACCCCUUUCGAUCCGGACGAAUACCUCGCAAGAGGGGUGACGGUACGGAUAUAAGAAGCCCCGGCUAACUACGUGCCAGCAGCCGCGGUAAGACGUAGGGGGCCAGCGUUGUUCGGAAUUACUGGGUGUAAAGGGUUCGUAGGCGGUGUGGCAAGUUGGGAGUGAAAUCUCUAGGCUCAACCUAGAGGCUGCUUCCAAAACUGCCGUGCUUGAGUGUGGGAGAGGCGCGUGGAAUUGCAGGUGUAGCGGUGAAAUGCGUAGAUAUCUGCAGGAACACCCGUGGCGAAAGCGGCGCGCUGGACCACUACUGACGCUGAGGAACGAAAGCUAGGGGAGCAAACAGGAUUAGAUACCCUGGUAGUCCUAGCCCUAAACGAUCAGGACUUGGGGUGCCACCCGUUCGGGUGUCGUCCCGGAGCUAACGCGUUAAGUCCUGCACCUGGGGAGUACGGUCGCAAGACUGAAACUCAAAGGAAUUGACGGG
rnacentral:rRNA from 1 species